rnacentral:lncRNA from 1 species
CUUCAUGGAGAGGAAAUAUCGCUCACGAUACAGAGGUUGAUCACGGUUACUCAUACGGUGUUCAUUGAGGGUUCUUAAAAUUCAAGAAACAUAAUUGGAGACUAUCUUUAGAAAUAAAAAGUAACUACCUCUUCACUGGCUAUGAAAGACAUCAACUACCUUCGCUGUCAUGUACUUAGGUGUUACAAGGCAGUGUAUCGUUACGAUGCAAAAUUACUCGCAAUGUCUUAGUUCUAAAAUAGAAUUAACAUGGAUCCACAUACCUUUAGGAUAUUCCCUUUUUUGGUUUUGCGCAGAAAUGUUUUUGAAGUUAGCAUGUUGAAAAAAUUUCUAGUUAAUGCCUGGUUAUCACCUUUUCCAUGUGCUCGUGCUCGUAUCAAAAAUGCGGUGUUUACUUUUCACUGACUUCUGACUUCAUGUUUUCAUAUUGGAGGUUAGGGUUAGGUCGCGUGGGCGUGUUUAUUCCAUCUCCAUCUCCAUCUGUUGGAGGUUGGAGUGCCGUGGUCAUGUCAUGUGCAAUUUGAUUCUCCGACUUGCAAACUUUCCUCAUCAAAAUGAAGAGAAAUAUAAUUUUAAAAGAGUUAAUAGGAGCUCCUGACAAGGAAAAUGACGAAGACUUUGACGACAAUAUAUUUCAGGGAGAUGAUGCUUACAAAGAUGUCAACACAGAACUUCUUGAUGAAGAUCAUGAUGAUUACGGCGAUAUAGGAAGAGGUAACUUGCGCACCUCUGCACCUUUGGAUGAAGAUCUCAACGAAGCAUAUCAAGGGAAGGCUGUGUCAAGGCAGCGCGCUUUCAAGAAUUAUGUGAACUCAAUCGACGCUGAUGACGAAGAAAUUGAAAGCGACAGCGAAGAAGGAAGUGGCGACACGUCUGGUGAUGAAGAUGAAGACACAGAAGACUGGAAUAUCGGCGGCAACAGCAGCGCUAGCAGAGGUGCUGCAUGGGCAGACGAAGAUGAUGAUGAAGAUGAUGUUGAAGAAGAUGGAGGAGGUGAACAAGGAGAUGAUGAGGAAUUGGAUGAGAAAGGGUAUGAAGCAUUUUGAUAAUACAAGCUGAAUAUCCCUUGCGAAGACAAUUGUUGUUUAAUAAUCAAAUAGUAGGAUCUAUGCCAAACAAUUUAUGCACUUCCAGACUGCGACAAAAGAUCGUCGGAUGUCACUUUUACGCGUAAAGUAAAUGCAAGAUGCACGAUGGUGGAUCUUCUAUCGCAGUCUAAAAGUGUGCUAACUUAUUUAGCAUGGACUCUAAAAUUUUGCCUAUGCAUUUUGGAGAAUAAAACUUUUGGGCUACUUACGUUUAUCCAAAACCCAACAUAAAUGAGUACUCAAAGUGUCACAUAAUUAAAAUGCUGGGCACAGACAGGGCACCUCCUGGUUGCGGUGUCUCAGAACCUCAUAAAUUAUCAAUCACGAUCCUCUUUUCUUCUCACUCUUCUUUUUCUAAGAUUUCAAAAUAUACCUAGGCCUUAGAAAAUAAUUUGAGACCAUAAUAAUCACUUUCAAACAAUACCAUUGAAUAUUGCAUGAAAAAGACCAUGAUGUUUAGCAACUAACUUUAACUAUUAAAAGCAUUUACUUAAUAAAAUCAUUUAAAAUCGUAACUUCUUUUAUAUUCAACAGUAUGUCAGAUGCUAGUUCCAUAGAAGAUGAUCUAGGAAGCGACAAUGAGGGGAAAUCUGUUGAUAAAGAUUUUGUAGUCUACUCAAAAGGUGUGAAAAAAGAAACUGAUGAAAAGAAAAAAGGUGGUGCAAUUUUAAAACAACAAGGUAAGUUUCUCUUAAUUUUAAUUUUUAAUUUACAUCUGUAAGUACUAAAAUUAUGACACAGAGACCAAAACGUUUUUGAAUAAACGAGAUAAUGAUAUUUUCAAUUGUCAAAUUAUUGAUUUUUGCACAAAUUUCUUUUUCAAAAUUUUUUUGAUACGCUAAGGGCAAUAUCUGUUAGUGUCUGACACAAAUAUUGGCUCAUUGUGAAAUAUUAAUCAUUUUCCAUUAGCUUUGAAAAAAUUUCUAUCCAAAACUGUUAUUAAUAUUUCAACAAGGAUACCCAGAUAAAAUGGGGCUGUUGCAUGAUCCUGGAAUUGCUUACUGAGGGUACGUAACUCAUGUGAAAAUUAGCGAGGAACACGAUUAUGAGCUUAAAAAAGCUCGAAACAGCUUUUUUGACUGAAAAAAGGAGCUUAAAGUUGUCGUGAUGAAAGAACGUUUCUCAUUGGCUUGAGCCUUAUGACGUCAUGAAAUCUGACGACCCAUGGUUUCGACCACCAUGAAUCCAAUGUGUCAUGGCU